CACAUGCAAGUCGAGCGGGCGUAGCAAUACGUCAGCGGCAGACGGGUGAGUAACGCGUGGGAACGUACCUUUUGGUUCGGAACAACACAGGGAAACUUGUGCUAAUACCGGAUAAGCCCUUACGGGGAAAGAUUUAUCGCCGAAAGAUCGGCCCGCGUCUGAUUAGCUAGUUGGUAGGGUAAUGGCCUACCAAGGCGACGAUCAGUAGCUGGUCUGAGAGGAUGAUCAGCCACAUUGGGACUGAGACACGGCCCAAACUCCUACGGGAGGCAGCAGUGGGGAAUAUUGGACAAUGGGGGCAACCCUGAUCCAGCCAUGCCGCGUGAGUGAUGAAGGCCCUAGGGUUGUAAAGCUCUUUUGUGCGGGAAGAUAAUGACGGUACCGCAAGAAUAAGCCCCGGCUAACUUCGUGCCAGCAGCCGCGGUAAUACGAAGGGGGCUAGCGUUGCUCGGAAUCACUGGGCGUAAAGGGUGCGUAGGCGGGUUUUUAAGUCAGGGGUGAAAUCCUGGAGCUCAACUCCAGAACUGCCUUUGAUACUGAAGAUCUUGAGUCCGGGAGAGGUGAGUGGAACUGC
rnacentral:rRNA from 1 species